rnacentral:rRNA from 1 species
AACGAACGCUGGCGGCAUGCCUAACACAUGCAAGUCGAACGAGACCUUCGGGUCUAGUGGCGCACGCGUGCGUAACGCGUGGGAACCUGCCCUUAGGUUCGGAAUAACUCCUCGAAAGGGGUGCUAAUACCGGAUAAUGUCUUCGGACCAAAGAUUUAUCGCCUUUGGAUGGGCCCGCGUUGGAUUAGCUAGUUGGUAGGGUAAAAGCCUACCAAGGCGACGAUCCAUAGCUGGUCUGAGAGGAUGAUCAGCCACACUGGGACUGAGACACGGCCCAGACUCCUACGGGAGGCAGCAGUGGGGAAUAUUGGACAAUGGGCGAGAGCCUGAUCCAGCAAUGCCGCGUGAGUGAUGAAGGCCUUAGGGUAGUAAAGCUCUUUUACCCGGGAUGAUAAUGACAGUACCGGGAGAAUAAGCUCCGGCUAACUCCGUG